AUGAAUCACCGAUCGUUCAUUCGUCAUAUGCAAAGCAACUACAUCCAAUGCGUUGUUUCAGGCGGUCAGCCUCCAAACCGCAAGUUCUUUUUUUAUGGUCAGAAAGCUGGGGCUGAUGCUUUCUACCUUGUAGAAUGCAAUGUGAACCCAGCAUCAUCCGAAGCCCAGCUCAAAAUUAAGGCCGACGAUGGGGCUACUGCGGAGGCCUUUUCUACUUUGUUUCAAUCAGUGUUGUCUGAAUUUGGGCUUUCUUGA
rnacentral:rRNA from 1 species